rnacentral:rRNA from 1 species
CCAGGUGGCUCGCUUCACGGCUUCCCUACGGCACCGACAACGGUCGCACCGUGGCCGACACCUAGCGAGUAUCGUUUACGGCUAGGACUACCCGGGUAUCUAAUCCGGUUCGUGCCCCUAGCUUUCGUCCCUUGCCGUCAGGUCCGUUCUGGUGAGACGCCUUCGCCACUGGUGGUCCUUCAAGGAUUACAAGAUUUCACCCCUACCCCUGAAGUACCUCUCACCUCUCCCGGCCUCGAGCCAGACAGUAUCUCCUGAAAGCCUGACAGUUAAGCUGCCAGAUUUCUCAAGAGACUUAUCCGGCCGGCUACAGACCCUUUAGACCCAAUAAUAACGGUUACCACUCGAGCCGCCGGUGUUACCGCGGCGGCUGGCACCGGUCUUGCCCGGCCCUUGCUAUGAAAUGCUUUUUAGGCAUCUCGACAGCCAGAUUUGUAACCUGGCACUCGAGGUUCCCUUAUCGCU